rnacentral:rRNA from 1 species
GAAUAUUGGACAAUGGGCGAAAGCCUGAUCCAGCAAUGCCGCGUGAGUGAUGAAGGCCCUAGGGUUGUAAAGCUCUUUUACCAGGGAUGAUAAUGACAGUACCUGGAGAAUAAGCUCCGGCUAACUCCGUGCCAGCAGCCGCGGUAAUACGAAGGGGGCUAGCGUUGCUCGGAAUCAUUGGGCGUAAAGCGCACGUAGGUGGGUUUCUAAGUCAGGGGUGAAAUCCUGGAGCUCAACUCCAGAACUGCCUUUGAUACUGGGAAUCUUCGAGUCCGGGAGAGGUGGGUGGAACUGCGAGUGUAGAGGUGAAAUUCGUAGAUAUUCGCAAGAACACCAGUGGCGAAGGCGGCUCACUGGCCCGGUACUGACACUGAGGUGCGAAAGCGUGGGGAGCAAACAGG